UCUGAUGGCAGAAACUGCUUUGUACUUUGACAAAACCGUACGUUGCUUGCAGAAGACAAACUCAGAUAAUGCAGUUUGUAUUCCAAGUCAAAUACCUGGCAGGUUUUCUUUUGAUUAUAGUUGUGGGAUUCCACUGAAUAUGUUGUUCUUGUUGUAUAGUUGAAGGGCAAAAGGAAGGGUGGUUAAAACUUUUGUCCAAACAUCAUGGCUAGCAUUUCACAGAUUUCCGAUAUAUUGAACUCCUACUUGAAAUGAUUUCAUGUUUGAGGAACAACACAAGAAAAGGAGGCCAGUCCAUUGAUAUUCAAGCCAAGGUACAAUCACAAUGAUAUCAGUGGAAAUGAACUGCAAGGAAGAAGUGAAACUAAGGUAUGUUGAUGUUGACAUGGCCGCGUGUAUCUCUCUGAAUUUUUUGUAAGUAACAGGAUUCUUUUGUGAAAGAAAGAAGAACUGAGGGAAAAGAUAAGUAG
rnacentral:misc_RNA from 1 species